ensembl:lncRNA
GUGUAAUUACCAGUCUUGCCUCCCCACAAAGUCUGUAGGUUUGUGCUGUGUUUGUAUGUGUGAUCUGAGCGCCAUCCGGUGGACAGACGACAUUUUUAUUUGAUACUCGCGCCAUUUUUGCGUUGAGUAUGGGCGCAACCAAGUGCAUAAUUGGAGGGGGGCACUCACCCAUUUUCCUUAACAAACGGAAAUAUAUUAAAAACGAGUAGACGUAAAUAAAUAGAAUAGAUGAAAAGACAGAUCAGUUUGCAAGGUUCAUUAAAGGGGGACAUAUAGAAAACAUUUUCUACUGUAUAUUGGGAGGGAAAGAUUGGUAUCACCUCAACAUUGGCGGGGACACGCCCCCCCAAAAGAAUACGUGGUUACGCCCAUAGUUGUAGGAGACACAGCAGCGACGGAGUCGGAGUAGGAGACACAUUUUUCCUCAGGAGUCACGACACAGCAGACACGGGGUUUUCUUUCUUCAAUUUUAACUUUUCUCAGGAGUUUAAGACAUCAUGGCUGGAAAUGCACAGCAGGGCAACCAACAGGCUGUACCACAAGACGUGGUGGCGAGACGAGCGUCCCUGCAGACUUUAAUUGAUGAUGCAUUGCAGGAGCUUCAGAACGUUGUCGAAGGACGGGAUUAAGACAGGUGAGCUGCAUGAUGCUCAUCAUCGAAUGAUCGUUGAGCAUAAGGUACUACACUGAAAUACCCUCCGGUCAGAAUAACUCUUCUGCACUGUAGCAUUGUAGAUAGAAGUUGUUUUAGUUUCAGAUGGUGUUGUAACCCUCAGGUUCGAGUUUAAAGCAGAAGCAGCAUUACAGGAACUUGUCAUUAAUGUCUCACUGUGACCCGAAAGCUGCUUGUUGGAUGUUUAAUGUAAGAUUAGAAAGUUCAGCUGGUUUAUCUCCUUUCAAGUGUGUGUAAAAGAGAACCUGGCUGUGUCCUUGCAGUGUGUGAUUUCUAUUUCGUCUGUCUUUUCAGAAGGAGGUGGAAGAGAGGUGUUUGUUGUUGUUGUUAAAUAAAUGGUUUCUUUAAAUAACCAACACCUGCCUGACUGUACGAGUUAUUUACAUGAACCAGCCGCAGGAACGUCUUGCUAUAAGGGAUGUGAACGUGAUAAUAUCUUUUUGUACAGAGCAUAAUGGAACUGAGGCAUCAGGAAUCCCAAAUAUAGCAAUGAAUGGGCAAGGUUUUAAAUCUACUCUGAGAAUAGUGGACAUGACAGUAAAGAAACCAGUCCAAAAACCAUGGAGAUCAGGGCAAAAGAAAAACAUAUGGCCAAGAUGACAGGGAGAGCCAUGGCAUUUAUCAGACUUGUCCUCUACUUCUGGAUAUAUUACAGAAAGUCUCGACUUAGACAAAUGGAUUCUGUGAAAAACUUUGAACUGGAUGAGUCCAAGACGAGCACAGGAAGUGGUAGACUGUAUCCUACCUAUAGCACAUUCCCAACACUUUUCACUUAUCUGUACUCCUAACUCCAUUUCCCACGCAUUCUUAAUUUUGGUACUCACCUCACUACCUAACGCCAGAAUAAAAUCAUAAAUCUUAGAUAUCAUUCCUCUCUGAUGUGGAUUGAAGCCACUCAACCCUGUCAAAUGCUUUUUCAGCAUUAAAGAAAUCCCAAUAUCAGUCGAAUGCUUUGAAUAAAUGGUAUUAAAGAGUGUACAGUAGGGAUCUCAAACUCAAUUUACCUGGGGGCCGCUGGAGGUAGAGUAUGGGUGAAGCUGGGCCGCAUCAAGUAUUCCACAAAAAAAGGAUUUCAAGUAUUCCAAAAACAGUACAACCGAUCCAAUCUUCUUUAUCUUUAGUAAUAACUAUUCAGAACAUGCAGAACAUGAACGGCUCUUCAGAACAUAGGUUUCUCUUACUUCCUCCUACUCCUUGCUGCCAGAGACUUGGCAGCGCUUCCUCUUACACAGCUGAGCCACAUUUGGCUUGAGGGAGGAAGCAACUGAGACCCUCAGUAUGGCUCGAAGAUGCUCAUCUGUAAGUCUGGACCUGAACUUUGAUUUAUUAAAGUUCAUAGUGGAGAACACCUUUUCGCACAGAUAGGUGCUCCCAAAAAGGCACAUGAUUCGCUUGAACAUCUUGGAAAGCUCAGGGAACGUGGGGGGCAAUUCUCUCAUAAAUUGUCCAAGCUUGUCUGUUUUUCCACUCACCUCCCUGAACUUGGCUAUGAGUUCAGAACUGCAAUGCAGGUCAAUUAGCUCCAACUGAACCACAGGGGGGCAUCUUCCACAUCGAAGGAGAAGGGGUCAGCAAAAAAUUGAAACGUGGCUCUGUGUGUCUUGAAGUCUGCAAACCUGUGAUCAAAUUCUUCCUGUAGCUUUAGAAUGGUAUCAGCAUACUUCUCACCACUGAAUGGUGUGCCUGAAUCCAUGAGCGCCUUGCAUGCUGGGAAAUGGCAGAGGUUUGUCUGAGAAAGCUGGGCUUUCCAUAACACAAGUUUUGUGGAGAAUGACAAGCUGGCCCUGGCCUUGUAACUUCUUGCUCAGUACAUUCAGCUCCUGUGUGAUGUCAACAAGAAAAGCUAAGUCCAUUAGCCAUUUGGGAUCACUUAAUACAGGAACAGCCAUCCCAUCCUUAUCCAUGAAGGCUUUCACUUCUGCUCUCAACUCAAAAAACCUCUUCAAGACGUCCCCCCUGCUAAGCCAACGUACCUCGGUGAAGUAGAGCACAUCCUCAUAUGCUGACUCUAUUUCCUCCAAAAAGGUGCGGAACUGCCGGUGCUUUAAGCCCCUGGAUCUGAUAUGGUUGAUGCAUUUCACAACGUCAGACAUCACAUUGUCAAACUUAAGGCAUUUGCUGCAAAGGGCCUGCUGAUGGAUAAUGCAGUGCAAAGCAAUGGCCUCUUCCACACCCUCCUCUUCCAGUUUUCUUUGAACAAGUGCCACCAGUCCAUUUCUCCUCCCUGUCAUUGAUGGUGCUCCGUCGGUUGUUAUUCCAGCAAAACUCUUCCAUAGUAAGCCGGCAUCCACAAUGGCAUCACACAGCUGGUGGAAUAUCUCCUGACCGGUGGUCUGGCCAUGCAUUGGAAUUAUUGUGAGCAAAUCCUCCAUCACUUCAAAAUUGUCAUCAACACCACGGAAAUAUAUUGCGAGCUGCGCAGUGUCAGUGACGUCUGUGCUCUCAUCAAGAGCGACUGAGUAUGAAUGGAAAUGUCUAGCUUUCUCACGCAGUUGAUCUUAAACGUUAUCCGACAGGUCAGAAAUUAGCUCUGCCACUGUGUUGGCUGAAAGGUUGAUGUUGCU